rnacentral:tRNA from 1 species
GCCUGGGUGGCUCAGUUGGUUAAGCGUCUGACUUCGGCUCAGGUCAUGAUCUCACAGUCCGUGAGUUCGAGCCCCGCGUCGGGCU